rnacentral:rRNA from 1 species
UACGUAGGGGGCAAGCGUUGUCCGGAUUUAUUGGGCGUAAAGAGCUCGUAGGCGGUGUGUCGCGUCGGCCGUGAAAACCUGGGGCUUAACUCUGGGCGUGCGGUCGAUACGGGCAUCACUAGAGUUCGGCAGGGGAGACUGGAAUUCCUGGUGUAGCGGUGAAAUGCGCAGAUAUCUGGAGGAACACCAGCGGCGAAGGCGGCUUUCUGGCUCAUUCCUGACGCUGAGGAGCGAAAGCGUGGGUAGCGAACGGG